rnacentral:rRNA from 1 species
UACGUAGGGUGCAAGCGUUGUCCGGAAUUAUUGGGCGUAAAGAGCGUGUAGGCGGCCAGGUAGGUCUGCUGUGAAAACUCGAGGCUUAACCUCGAGCUGUCGGCGGAAACCAUCUGGCUAGAGUCCGGAAGAGGAGAAUGGAAUUCCCGGUGUAGCGGUGAAAUGCGCAGAUAUCGGGAAGAACACCCGUGGCGAAGGCGGUUCUCUGGGCCACUACUGACGCUGAGAAGCGAAAGCAUGGGGAGCGAACAGG